GAUGAACGCUGACAGAAUGCUUAACACAUGCAAGUCUUUGGUGAAGCUGUGCUUGCACAGCCUAGCCAAGGCGGACGGGUGAGUAACGCGUAAGGAACUUGCCCUGCAGUCAGGGAUAACAGACGGAAACGACUGAUAAGACCUGGUAAAGUCAGGCGGACUCAUGUCCAGCCUGAUGAAAAGAGAUGCUGCAGGAGAGCCUUGCGUCCUAUUAGCUUGUUGGUGGGGUAACGGCCCACCAAGGCGAUGAUAGGUAGCCGGCCUGAGAGGGUGGACGGCCACAAGGGGACUGAGAUACGGCCCUUACUCCUACGGGAGGCAGCAGUGGGGAAUAUUGGACAAUGGGGGCAACCCUGAUCCAGCAAUUCUGUGUGCACGAUGAAGGUUUUCGGAUUGUAAAGUGCUUUCAGCAGGGAAGAAAAAAAUGACGGUACCUGCAGAAGAAGCGACGGCUAAAUACGUGCCAGCAGCCGCGGUAAUACGUAUGUCGCAAGCGUUAUCCGGAAUUAUUGGGCAUAAAGGGCAUCUAGGCGGCCAGAUAAGUCUGGGGUGAAAACUUGCGGCUCAACCGCAAGCCUGCCCUGGAAACUAUGUGGCUAGAGUACUGGAGAGGUGGACGGAACUGCACGAGUAGAGGUGAAAUUCGUAGAUAUGUGCAGGAAUGCCGAUGAUGAAGAUAGCUCACUGGACGGUAACUGACGCUGAAGUGCGAAAGCUAGGGGAGCAAACA
rnacentral:rRNA from 1 species